rnacentral:rRNA from 1 species
AAUAGAUACCCCGGUAGUCCACGCCGUAAACGAUGAGUGCUAAGUGUUAGAGGGUUUCCGCCCUUUAGUGCUGCAGCUAACGCAUUAAGCACUCCGCCUGGGGAGUACGGCCGCAAGGCUGAAACUCAAAGGAAUUGACGGGGGCCCGCACAAGCGGUGGAGCAUGUGGUUUAAUUCGAAGCAACGCGAAGAACCUUACCAGGUCUUGACAUCCUCUGAUCUCCCUGGAGACAGGGCCUUCCCCUUCGGGGGACAGAGUGACAGGUGGUGCAUGGUUGUCGUCAGCUCGUGUCGUGAGAUGUUGGGUUAAGUCCCGCAACGAGCGCAACCCUUGACCUUAGUUGCCAGCAUUCAGUUGGGCACUCUAAGGUGACUGCCGGUGACAAACCGGAGGAAGGUGGGGAUGACGUCAAAUCAUCAUGCCCCUUAUGACCUGGGCUACACACGUGCUACAAUGGAUGGUACAAAGGGCUGCGAGACCGCGAGGUUAAGCCAAUCCCGAGAAAACCAUUCCCGAGUUCGGAUUGCAGGCUGCAACCCCG